ACUUCCUGAGUCGGAACGAAAAGUGCGGAGGGAUGACCGAAGUACUUUUGACUUGUGGAUGUGAUGUUGUGUUUGCUAUUUACCGUCUGGAUUUCAGACAAGGUAGCUCUGCUACCUUUUCAUUUCCUGUUUUCCCUGUCUAUUCACAAGAUUGUGUAGGGCACCGCAAGAUUGCGGUGCUUUUUUUU
rnacentral:other from 1 species